AUUGCCUCAGUAGCGGCGAGUGAAGCGGCAAAAGCUCAAAUUUGAAAUCUGGCGUCUUUGGCGUCCGAGUUGUAAUUUGAAGAAGGUAUCUUUGGGCCCGGCUCUUGUCUAUGUUCCUUGGAACAGGACGUCACAGAGGGUGAGAAUCCCGUGCGAUGAGAUGACCCGGGUCUGUGUAAAGUUCCUUCGACGAGUCGAGUUGUUUGGGAAUGCAGCUCUAAGUGGGUGGUAAAUUCCAUCUAAAGCUAAAUAUUGGCGAGAGACCGAUAGCGAACAAGUACAGUGAUGGAAAGAUGAAAAGAACUUUGAAAAGAGAGUGAAAAAGUACGUGAAAUUGUUGAAAGGGAAGGGCUUGAGAUCAGACUUGGUAUUUUGCAUGUUGCUCUCUCGGGGGCGGCCGCUGCGGUUUACCGGGCCAGCAUCGGUUUGGAGCGGCAGGAUAAUGGCGGAGGAAUGUGGCACGGCUUCUGCUGUGUGUUAUAGCCUCUGACGAUGCUGCCAGCCUAGACCGAGGACUGCGGUUUUUAACCUAGGAUGUUGGCAUAAUGAUCUUAAGUCGCCCGUCUUGAAACACGGACCAAGGAGUCUAACGUCUAUGCGAGUGUUUGGGUGUAAAACCCGUACGCGUAAUGAAAGUGAACGAAGGUGGGGGCCCAUUAGGGUGCACCAUCGACCGAUCCUGAUGUGUUCGGAUGGAUUUGAGUAAGAGCAUAGCUGUUGGGACCCGAAAGAUGGUGAACUAUGCCUGAAUAGGGUGAAGCCAGAGGAAACUCUGGUGGAGGCUCGUAGCGGUUCUGACGUGCAAAUCGAUCGUCGAAUUUGGGUAUAGG
rnacentral:rRNA from 1 species